AGAAAGAGAGAGAGAGAGAGAGAGAGAGAGAGAGAGAUAUGUAUGUGUUUGUGUUUGUAUCUAUCCGUUUGUUUUUUUCCUCAUAGCUGGAAUGAUCAUAAUCGAAAGAAAUUUCUUUCUUAUGUCAUAAACACAAUUGUGAUAUAAGAAAUAAUAAAUUGAGAUUUUACGUCUUGUCGAUCUUAUCAAUUUCACGUAGUAUGAGAAAUUGAAUAUAUAUAUUUUUUUAAUAUAUAAACAGUCGCAAUGUAAAACUAAUAGUCUUUUUUCUAAAAAUAUGCGUUACACUUGUCUCCUUCUCUUGCAUCUCUUUACGAAGAAAGACAUAAAGACACGCACAGCUUCUUUCUCUCUUCCUCUCUCUCUCUUUCGUCUUCUAAUCUCCCCCUUCCCUCCAACUUACAAUUAGAAUGCAGAGUUCGAUUUCUUGAAACGCCCGCAUUUCUCCGCUACUCUACUCUCUCUAUCUUACAGAAGAAAGAAAAAUGAAACCAACAAAGAUGAUCGACUGUAAUGAUACCGAAAUAGCUGUCCUAAUCUCCAUGAGAAUCGUAUUAUAAUAGAACUAGAUAUUAGAAAGAGUGCGCGGUUAUAUAAAAUCGCGCUGGGUCGAGGUCGAUGAAAUAAUUCCCAUCGGCUUGCAUUCCAAAGUAUCGUAACCCUGGCAUGAUCUACAUCCGCGCUCCAUUCGUCUCGGCGAAUUAGCGACUUGAGAUACGCGUAUGCAAUUUGCAUCACCGAUAUCAUUUAUAUAUGUAUACCGUCUUUCUCGAAAAAGAAAUCGGACGGCGCGAGAUUUAGAUAGCGGCAAAUUGGUACGAGAGAUAUCUGAGAUUUCCUCGAGGAUAUAUUUUAGCCUCCUUAAGAGAAUUUCUUAAAUCUUCUUAAAAAUGUGAUAAUAUAUUGGGUAUCUUUUUUAGAAACUUUGCACUCGCGAAACUGUUAAUCGCAGACAAUAGAAAUCGUAUCUAUGGUGAGAAUUAAACGGCGCACGCAAGCGUGCGUAUAAUUUUACUUCUCGCAACUCGAAUCAAAGGAUUACUUUUAUAUACGCAAUCGAUCUUCUUACGUAGUAUACGAGAAAAUGACAUACCUUUUUUCGCCACGCGUUGCGCGAGAAUGUUAUUUUAUUGUAGCGUCCUGUAAUAUAUAUGCCUUAUAUAGAGAUAGGAAUUGUAAAUGUAUCUUAUUCUAUAAACACACGCAAACAUUCAUAUACUUUCGAAAGUUUCAUUUGUACAUAACAAUCAUGUUUUUCUUCUUUUGUUAUCGUGCACUGUCUAUUCGAUAGCCUGUAUCUCUAUCUCAAUGAAGUUUACGUUGGAUUACGAUAUGUUUUUCUCUAAUAACUUGAGUAGUAUAAAUAAGUUACAAUAAACAGGAAAUUAUCAGACAUCGAGCUCUUUUGAUUCAAAAGAUAUAUGCCAAUGAGAAUGUUGCAAAAUACGUUUCGUGAAUGUUUUGGAUAAGCAACAUUAAAAUACAUUUUUCGGAUAUCUAUAGAACAAAUCCCACGCUUAUUCCCACACGAGCUUAACUUGGCACAGCUUCAACGCGUUGCACGCAAUUUGCAUUGCGUCGUGCUUUAUUUUUGACGUUUCCAGCGCGGAGCACGAUAUCGCCUUCGUAUCCUUAAAUGGCGAUUGUUGAAAAAUGAAAAAAAAAAAAACA